rnacentral:rRNA from 1 species
UUAAGAUAGUAAGAGCAUACGGUGGAUGCCUUGGCGAUAUCUGCCGACGAAGGACGCGACAAGCUGCGAUAAGUCACGGGGAGGUGCAAAUGACCAUUGAUCCGUGAAUUUCCGAAUGGAGCAAUCCGGCUGUGGUUAUGCACAGUCACCCAUGCCACUGAGUAUGGGAGGGAACCGGGCGAACUGAAACAUCUAAGUAGCCCGAGGAGAAGAAAUCAAACGAGAUACCCCAAGUAGCGGCGAGCGAACGGGGCAGAAGCCCAAACCGGAGAAGGAAACUUUUCCGGGGUUGAGGACCGUCAGACGAUAAGGAAGCCCAGCCGAAUCCCCUGGGAAGGGGAGCCGGAGAAUGUGAAAGCCAUGUAGGCGAAGGGCGGAUAAGGACAGACGGCACCAGAGUACCGCGGGACACGAGAAACCCCGUGGGAAGCCGGGGGGACCACCCUCCAAGGCAAAACACAGAUAUCGACCGAUAGCGCAUAGUACCGUGAGGGAAAGGUGAAAAGCACCCCGGGAGGGGAGUGAAAUAGAACCUGAAACCGUAUGUUUACAAGCAGUCGGAGACCGCUUAAUAAUAAGGUCAACGGCGUGCCUAUUGAAGAAUGAACCGGCGAGUUAUGAGGUCCAGCAAGGUUAAGCAGGAAAUGCGGAGCCGAAGCGAAAGCGAGUCUUAAUAGGGCGAGAAGUUGGAUUGCAUAGACCCGAAACCACAGUGAUCUACCCAUGUCCAGGCUGAAACACAGGUAAAAAUGUGCGGAGGGCCGAACCUAUAUCCGUUGAAAAGGGUUAGGAUGAGGUGUGGGUAGGGGUGAAAUUCCAAUCGAACGUGGAGAUAGCUGGUUCUCCCCGAAAUAGCUUUAGGGCUAGCCUCGAGGUGAGAUUGCAGGCGGUAGAGCACUGAUCAGGAGAGGGACCUACCCGGUUACCAAACCCAGUCAAACUGCGAAUGGCUGCAAUUAUACUCGGGAGUCAGACUACGACUUAUAAGGGCCGUGGUCAAAAGGGAAACAGCCCAGAUCAUCAGCUAAGGUCCCAAAUGCCGUGCUAAGUGGCGAAGGAUGUGGCGUUUCAUAAACAACCAGGAUGUUGGCUCAGAAGCAGCCACCAUUCAAAGAGUGCGUAAUAGCUCACUGGUCGAGAGACGCUGCGCCGAAAAUGUCCGGGGCUCAAGCACGGAACCGAAGCUAUGGCAUGAUAGCAAUAUCAUGGGUAGGGGAGCGUUCUUAUAAGGAAGAAGCAUUACCGUAAGGAGAUGUGGACAUAUAAGAAGUGAGAAUGCCGGUAUGAGUAUCGAAAAGAAAGGUGAGAAUCCUUUCCACCGAAAGCCCGAGGGUUCCUGAGCAACGAUCGUCGACUCAGGGUAAGUCGGGACCUAAGCCGAGGCGGAGACGCAUAGGCGAUGGACAACAGGUUGAAAUUCCUGUACCGGAUGGAGUCGUUUGAGCGAAGGAGCGACGCAGGAGGGCACAUGAUCGCGCGGCUGGAAGAGCGCGUCCAAGUGCGUAUGCGGGUAAGGAGGCAAAUCCCCUUAUCCAGAAGCAGAGACAUGAUGGGGAGUUAAAGGCGACUUUGACGAACUCAUGGAUCCCACACUGCCAAGAAAAACUUCUAGCGAGACAACAUCCGCCCGUACCGUAAACCGACACAGGUAGGCGGGGAGAGAAUCCUAAGGUGCGCGGGAAAACCCUCGUUAAGGAACUCGGCAAAUUGCAUCCGUAACUUCGGGAGAAGGAUGACCCUGAGUAGGCGAAAGGGAGAAACCCCCGGAACAGAAAAGGGUGGCAGAAAAGAGGCCCAAGCAACUGUUUACCAAAAACACAGGUGCCUGCGAAAGCGAAAGCUGAAGUAUAGGUGCUGACGCCUGCCCGGUGCUGGAAGGUUAAGGAGAGAGGUCAGCUUAGGCGAAGCUUCGAACUGAAGCCCCAGUGAACGGCGGCCGUAACUAUAACGGUCCUAAGGUAGCGAAAUUCCUUGUCGGGUAAGUUCCGACCCG